UCCCUGGAUUAGAAAAUUCCCCAUGAAUGCUUGGUGUAUAUUAUGUUAAAUUCUCAAUUUGAGUGCAUGCUAUGCAUUUUUCCCAAUUUGUUUGGUACCAGGCACGAUUAACAAAGUAGGGGGGAAAAUGCUGACACUGGGACCAGUGACUUUUCAUAGCAAUCAGUGACUGCUAAGUAGCAAUCUAUGACUUUACAAAGCAACCAAUGACUCCCAUAGCAACCAUUUACUUUCCAUAGAAACUAGUGAUAUUUCAUACUAACUGGAGACUGCCAUAGCAACCAUGACUUUCCAUGAUGAAAUUGACUUCCCUUAAUAAACAGUAAUUUCCAUAACAACCCUUGAAAUACAUUUCUCAAGAACAUACAUGUACCUAUUAUUUCUACCAGCAUCAACUUGAUCCUUAGUAACCAGUGGUAUCCAUAGCAACUAGUGACUUUUUUUCCAAAGCAACCUUUAUCUUUCCAUAGCAACUGUUGACUUUCUUUUCUUUUCAUAUCAGUUACAGACUUUUCAUAAGAACCUGAGUGACUUCCAUAGCAAAAUUUUAUUUUCUAAAGCAACCAGUACCAUUGACUUUCAUAGCAACCUGCUGGUCAGCCGGAAUGGUAGCCACUGCAGCCUUUACUACCAGUAAAGAGCCAGGCUUUAUUGUAAGCUAACAAAAUUGAUGAUGGAAGUUUUAUAUAUGAAAGCUAGACAAAGUCUAUUUCAGAAAUUUAGCAGGUUUAGCAUUUAUCUGUAUUUAUUUACUCUUAUUAUUUUUCCUAAAAUUUAAAUACUAUAACACAUUUGAAUUAGUUUGUAGUGGUACAACAGUUAAAAAAUAGUUGCUUAAAAUUUCAGGGUCCAAGCCUGUAAACUGAGCCAAGCAAAAUAGAUGUGAUGGAGGAGACAAGUGAUAACAAACUAAUCAAAAGAAGAAAAUGUCAUUAUCUUGGAUAAAAAAUGGUUACCUUCAACAACUAGAUAUACUGGUCACAGUUAAAUUAAAUAUUGUUGUCAAGAAGAUUUUCCCUAUUCAUCAUAGAGGAGCAGAAACAUGUUUGGAUGGAACAUGUGCUUAAACUUUGCAUAAGUUUUGUUGAAACUUUCAUUUGAUAUACUGAAGAUGGUUGUUGAAUAUUGUUUGUUAACAAUAUCUAUAUGGCCGUAUGGCUGUAAAGAGAGAUGUUGAAAGGUGCAAUUUUAGUGCAAAAAUGUGCAUGUUUAACAACAUGUUGAAUGAACAAACAUUAUAAUGCAGUAAAACACUAGGAAUCAUUAUGUUUUCAAAACUUAUAUAACAACUUAGUAAAUGUGUUGGAAUGUCCAUAUAUCCAUCCACCAAAAGGAGGUAUCUACAUGUUAGUGAAACUUAAUACAUUAUAGAUGGAUAAAUCUCAUUGGGGAGAAAUGAUGUGUUGAAUUUUAAUAUGCCCGAAACAAUUUCGGGCAUAUUAUGUUAUACCCCUGGCAUCUGUUCCUCCGUACGAACCCAGAGGUACUUGUGUGACUGGGUAACAGUAUAUAAAUAACACAUGGGUUUGUUGGUAACUGUAAAAAUAUCAUCCCGAGGAAAAUACUGUUACCCGAGGAUGAUUGUCCAUAUUAUUAAUAGGUAGAAGACACCUAUUGAUUUUGAGGUCACAAGAUCAAAAAGGUCAAGAACUGAAAACAGUUUCCGGAGCAUAACUUAAGUUCCAUUUGGCACACAGUGUUCAAACUUCAUAGUAUGAUUGUCCAUAUUGGGUAGAAGACCUCUAUUGAUUUUGGGGUCACAAGGUCAAGGUCACUAUUGCCUUAAAACUGAAAACAGUUACCGGAGCAUAACUUAAGUUCCAUUUGGCCCACAGUGUUCAAACUUCAUAGGAUGAUUGUCCAUAUUGGGUAGAAAAUCCCUAUUGAUUUUGGGGUCACAAGGUCAAAGGUCAAGGUCAUUAUUACUUUAAAACUGAAAACAGUUUCCGGAACAUAACUUAAGUUUCAUUUGGCCCACAAUAUAAAAACUUCAUAGGAUGAUUGUCCAUAUUGGGUAGAAGACCCCUAUUGAUUUUGGGGUCACAAGGUCAGAGGUCAAGAUCAUUAUUACUUUAAAACUGAAAACAGUUUCCGGAACAUGACUUAAGUUCCAUUUGGCACACAGUAUUCAAACUUUAUAGGAUGAUUGGCCAUAUUGGGUAGAACACCACUAUUGAUUUUGGGAUCACAAGGUCAGAGGUCAAGGUCACUAUUACUUUAAAAGUGAAAACAGUUUCCGGAGAAUAACUUAAGUUCCAUUUCGCCUAGCGGUGCUCUUGUUAGUUUUCAGCUCAAUUUUUUUUUAAGAAUAAAAGAGUGUGAGCUAUUGCUAUGUACAGUCAUGCCUUACUUUCUUGUUGUCAUCCUAAAACUUUAACAUUUUCUCUUCACAACAACCCUUUUGACAAGACCUUCAAGUAGACCAGACUGAACUUGAGUCUUAAAAUAUCUUGACCUUCCAAGUCACGGUGUCAAAUGUUUAAACUAUCAAUUUUGCUUGAUAUUUGCUUUAUUUGGCUGUAACUUUGUUAUUCUUUUCAGCUCACCUGAGCUUGCUCAGGGUGAGCUUUUUAGGAUCGUUUAAUGUCCAUUGUCCGUCCAAAUUUGUUCGUUAACACUCUUGCGGUCACAUUUUUACCUCAAUCAUCAUCAAAUUUUGUCACGAUGCUUGUCUAUGUAAUUGCUUAUAUGCGUUUGAACAUGGGUCAUCUCAGAUGAAAAACUAGGUCACAGGAGCUAAAAAUAGAAAAAUCUUGUUAACACUCUAAUGGCUACUGUUUUCAUCCAAAUAUCCUGGACUGAAAGUUUGUUUUGAUGAUUUUUAUGUCAAAUUUGAAUAUGGGUCACCUGGGGUCAAAAAACUAGGUCACACUGCUCAAAUAUGGAAAAUCCUUGUUAACACUCUAGUGGUCACAUGUUUGACUCACCUGUCAUAAAACUUGGUCAGGAUGCUUGUCUAGGUAAUUGCUCGGAUGAGUUCAAACAUGUGUCAUCUCAGAUGAAAUACUAGGUCACAGGAGUUUAAUAUAAUAUGGGUUUGAUGGGUCAGGUGAGCGAUCUAGGGCCAUUUUGGCCCUCUUGUUGGCUGUAACUUUGUAAGUAAUCAAUGGAGUAUUUCAAACUUAGACAAAACAACCAUUUGGACAAGACAUGCUGAAAUGUUGAACAGACCUUGACCCUGAGCUUUAAAUCACAUUGACUGUCAAGUUCAAAUUAUUGAAUUUUGGUUAAGUUGUCAUGAGGGAAUGGUUCCCUCUUGCCAGUAACAUGGCUCUAAAUUUCUAUAUUACUGCAUUUUAUUCUAUCAAAUUGUUAUACAUGA